rnacentral:rRNA from 1 species
AGCAGCCGCGGUAAUUCCAGCUCCAAUAGCGUAUAUUAAAGUUGUUGCAGUUAAAAAGCUCGUAGUUGAAUUUCGGGGUUAGUAGGUUGGUCAUGCCUCUGGUAUGUACUGGUCUCACUGAUUCCUCCUUCCUGAUGAGCCGUAAUGCCAUUAAUUUGGUGUUGCGGGGAAUUUGGACUGUGACUUUGAAAAAAUUAGAGUGUUUAAAGCAAGCUAACGCUUGAAUACAUUAGCAUGGAAUAAUGAAAUAGGACGUUCGAUCCUAUUUUGUUGGUUUCUAGGAUUGACGUAAUGAUUAAUAGGGAUAGUUGGGGGCAUUAGUAUUCAAUUGUCAGAGGUGAAAUUCUUGGAUUUAUUGAAGACUAACUACUGCGAAAGCAUUUGCCAAGGAUGUUUUCAUUAAUCAAGAACGAAAGUUAGGGGAUCGAAGACGAUCAGAUACCGUCGUAGUCUUAACCAUAAACUAUGCCGACUAGGGAUCGGAUGAUGUUAAUUUUUUAAUGACUC